rnacentral:rRNA from 1 species
CGAAAGCCUGACGGAGCAACGCCGCGUGAGGGAUGAAGGCCUCUGGGCUGUAAACCUCUUUUCUCAAGGAAGAAGAUCUGACAGUACUUGAGGAAUAAGCCACGGCUAAUUCCGUGCCAGCAGCCGCGGUAAUACGGGAGUGGCAAGCGUUAUCCGGAAUUAUUGGGCGUAAAGCGUCCGCAGGCGGCCUUUCAAGUCUGCUGUUAAAUCGUGGAGCUUAACUCCAUCAUGGCAGUGGAAACUGUUGGGCUUGAGUGUGGUAGGGGCAGAGGGAAUUCCCGGUGUAGCGGUGAAAUGCGUAGAUAUCGGGAAGAACACCAGUGGCGAAGGCGCUCUGCUGGGCCAUUACUGACGCUCAUGGACGAAAGCCAGGGGAGCG